CGCCCUGACCAUGUCCACCAUGGCCUGGUCCUCUCUGCUCCUCACCCUGGUCGCUCUCUGCACAAGAUCCUGGGCGCAGGCUGUGCUGACUCAGCCGCCCUCCAUGUCCGGGUCCCUGGGUCAGACGGUCACCAUCUCCUGCACUGGGAGCAGCAACCACAUCGGGCAUGGUUAUGGUAGCUGGUACCAACUGAUCCCAGGAUCGGGCCCCAGAACCCUCAUCUAUGGUGAAACCAGUCAAGUCUCAGGGGUCCCCGACCGAUUCUCCGGUUCCAGGUCUGGGAACACAGCCACCCUGACCAUCAGUUCGCUGCAGGCUGAGGAUGAGGUGGAUUAUUACUGGGCAGCUUAUGACACUAGCAGCAAUGAUGGCACAGUGGUCCAGGCAGGGGGGAAGUGAGAGAAAAACCUGCUCUGCUGCAGACAUGGGCCUCUCGGGGCUGAAGCAUCUUCUGCCAAUGCAGACACUUCUGUUGUUUCUUUGAUUUAAAACUGUGGUUUGAGCCCCACACCUGGAACUGGGUCCAGGAAAUCUGUUCAGAUCAUCUUAAUUCUGUCCCGACACCAAGACUUUUCUAUGGCAACCACAUAGUGUUUGAUUAUCUAAAAUUGAGCACAAAGUCCUGAAUGCCCGAGGCCCUGGGGUCAGAGUCCAUGAUGGUUCAGGUCAGAAUCAGAGAAACAGAGUGGAGCUGGGUCUGAUUCAGGAGGCAUCAUU